rnacentral:rRNA from 1 species
AGUGAACGCUGGCGGUAGGCCUAACACAUGCAAGUCGAACGGCAGCACAGUAAGAGCUUGCUCUUACGGGUGGCGAGUGGCGGACGGGUGAGGAAUACAUCGGAAUCUACUUUUUCGUGGGGGAUAACGUAGGGAAACUUAAGCUAAUACAGCAUAGGACCUACGGGUGAAAGCAGGGGAUCUUCGGACCUUGCGCGAUUGAAUGAGCCGAUGUCGGAUUAGCUAGUUGGCGGGGUAAAGGCCCACCAAGGCGACGAUCCGUAGCUGGUCUGAGAGGAUGAUCAGCCACACUGGAACUGAGACACGGUCCAGACUCCUACGGGAGGCAGCAGUGGGGAAUAUUGGACAAUGGGCGCAAGCCUGAUCCAGCCAUACCGCGUGGGUGAAGAAGGCCUUCGGGUUGUAAAGCCCUUUUGUUGGGAAAGAAAAGCAGCAGGUUAAUACCCCGCUGUUCUGACGGUGCCCAAAGAAUAAGCACCGGCUAACUUCGUG